rnacentral:sRNA from 1 species
UUGGACGGUUUUUAUACAAACCUCCAAAAGGUUAGCCAAAAAAGAUGCGCUGCAAGAAUUUUUUUUACUUCUUGCGCUACGUCAGUUUACUUACUACAAGUAAUGGGUAGUAUGUACGCCGGCUAUUAGCCCACUCUGGGCGA